rnacentral:lncRNA from 1 species
GUAUGUGAAAGGAGGUGCAUGGGAGAAAAGAUGCCAGAGUUGCGUAGUGGAGUGUGAUAAUAUAUUCAAGUCAAGGAAAGUUGUGGUGACCAACACGAUUAUCCAUCACGUCCAGCGGGGACGCUGCAAGAAUCAUGGCCCCCAUGUGUGCUAUUGUCCAACACAGCCGCUGCCCUUUCACACUACCUCCACGCCGGUUGUGUUUUCCCUACAAGUACAUCUCGCUUCUCUCCUGCAAUAUUACUAGGCUGGAGAUGGGUGUCAUGGCUUCAGAGGCGUCAACAUUGACUGCAAAUACAUUCUGAAAAUUGAAUUGUUUGAAAUUCUUAGUAUAUGCAAUUCUGUAAAUUGUAUCUGUAUGUAUGUGAAGGUCUUUUCAAAAUGGAGCAGAAAGAAAAGAACAGAGCUUUUGAUUUAGCUUAGUAGAGAAAGACUGAAACACAUUUCAUUUAUAUCACAGGAAUGGAUGCCUUGGUGUCUGCAUUUUAUUCCGAGGAGAAAACACAUCCAGAGAAAAAACAAGAAUGAGUUGUCUAACUAGGUUAGCUAUCCACCUAUGUAUUUCUCUUUUUAUUCUAUGUAUUCAUUACUCAUUUCAGUUACUCUUCAUCUCUUAAAUUAUUAUAGAAACAAAUAUCUUUUUGGGCUGUUGUGUGCAAAUCAUAUUUGAAGUUUCCAUGCACAACGAGGACGAUUAUGUGCCUCUUUUAAGUCAUCCACGGUCAGAUUCAUUCUUGUCUUGGCUCUUACUUGGGCAAAAACUGGAAUAUCCUCUUUGGGAAUGAUGUUAGUCAGAAACUCAAUAUUAAUUUUGCACUUUAAGAAAGAGUCAAGUUUGUUAUGUAGCAUUAUAUUUGGCUCAGAUAGUUCUUGGAUGCCUUCCACGGGUCGAUGGGACGUUUUGCUCACCUUGCAAAAGUAAAGCAAUGAAGAAAUUUGUAAGGUGGGAACACUCGAAUCUCAGAG